rnacentral:lncRNA from 1 species
UGGAAGGAAUAAUUAAAACUAAACUAGUAAAGUAGAACAACAUUUAAGAUGCCGUUCGGUACAUAUAAUAACAUCACUUGAAACUAAUAAUAUUUCCAAAACCCGAAUCUCAUAAAUCACAAGCUAAGGGAUACAUAAGAGGCCCUAACUCAAGCAUGUCUAAACAAAGAAAAAUACUAAAAGGGUUAUACUUUUUUCAGAAAGCUGGAAAGGGACUCCUCGGUCUGCGGACGUAGCAGAUAUACCUCGAAGUCUCUAUAGAAAAUGCCUCCUUCCACCAGAACUGAGUGAGAGUACCUGUAUCUGCACAAUAAAAAUAUGCAGAAGAGUAGUAUGAGCACACCACAAAGGUACUCAAUAAGUAUCAAAACUAACCUCUGUGAAGUAGUGACGAGGAAUAGUCAAGACACUUACCAGUCAAAUAAACAGUAUAAUUAUAGGAACAACGGAACAUAAUAUAUAAAUGUAUUUAGACUGUAUGAAAAGAUAAACAAUGCUACAACCACAAUAAGAGAAGAAACAACAGGUAACACGAGAAUAUAAAGAAUGAUGCCACAUAACCACUUGAAAAUACAAUCCAAACCCGAAGAUCACAAUACAGAAAGGAAACACAACAAUAACGAGUCCUACGGUAGUGUCACAUCAGGUUGCAUUUAACAAUUUUCACAAAUCCUCCAAAUCUUGGUCAAAUCACAAUUCACGAGUCCCGGCAUCCGAAAUCUACACUUGGUAUCCUGUGCCUCCAUCAACCAUACGAUCAUACUGGCAACUAACUAGCUAACGAGGGUCAUUCUCACAUAUAAAAAUGAUUAAACAAAGACAUGCCUCUACACUUAGAAAAUCAGGGGAACUUUACCCUCAAUAGGAGUUUCAACUACGUGUAUGCUUGUGCGAGUGCUUUAACAAAAUUUCUACCAGCUAAUAAAGAUAAGAAAAAGAGCCGACAACGCGCACGAUGUUUCCUCACCACAUCCAUAUAAUAAAGCUCAUACAGGAAAGCAACCACAAUCAAAAUAUUAAACGAAAAUAGAAAUGCCUCCGCAGGCCGUAACAAUCCUUACAAUCAAUCCCUGACAUAGCCCUUCUUAUUUUGCCGCGUGUGGAAUUAAUAACAUAAAAAAUACCGUCUUAUUUCGCCACACGUUCAUCAUAAUGUUCCUACCUUAUUUCGUCACAUGCGCAACCCACAUAUAAUCAUAUAAACGAUUCCUGCAUUAUUACAUCGCACAUGCAAUUUAUCAAUAGCAACAGUAGCUCGUCAAAGAUCUCGUGCAACCCCUUAAUCAAAAUCGCACGGUAGAAACAUCGUGCAUCAUAGUAUCAAUAACCGCAGGGCAGAAACUUCGUGCAUCAUCAUAUCCAUAACCGCACGACAAAAACCUCGUGCAUCACACUAUCCAUAACCGCAAGGCAGAAACAUCGUGCAUCACAAUAUCCAUAACCACACGAUAGAAACCUCGUGCAUCAACAAUAUCAAGUAUAAUACCAACAAAUACAAUAUACAUACAAGAGCACAACAAGUGAAUUAACUCAAGAAUAUUUCGUUCACUGGGGUUAUAAGACUAGCUCACAUGGAAUAACCACAAUAGAAAAUACUAAACGUAAUAAGAACAACUUAACAAGGGAGAAAGGUAAUAUGAAGCGACGACCCCAUAGCAUGUAGUUCAACAACAAGGAAGUUAACAAGAUUCAAGUAAUUUCAAAUAAGGCAAUAUAGAUUACACAUGGAAUAUCUACUCUUCUUUUGAGAUUGGGCAGGUUACGAAGAAUAUACGACAAUUUCAAUUAAAACUAAAUAAUUACCUAAUUGAUAAUAAUGAUUUCCAAUAAAACAAGAAGUUAUGAAAGAUAAUGUGACGAUAGAGGAGGUAACGAUAUUCAGUUAAGUAAGAUAAGGAUCAAUUAGGCAAUAAGAAUGAACCACAAGGCAAUUAAUUCCAAAUAAAAUUAAUAUCAAGAACAACUUCAUACUCAGUGUAUAUAAGGACCUAAGAACCUAGAAAAGCAAAGUGACAACCCCAUAGCAUGUAGUUCAACAACAAGGGAGUUAACGAGAGUAUAGAAAUUUCAAAUAAGUGAAUAUCAAUUACACAUGGAAUAUCUACUCUUCUUUUGUGAUUGAGCAGGUUACGAAGGAUAUACAACAAUUUCAGUUAUGACUAAAUAAUUACCUGAGAGUAAUAAUGAUUUCCAACAAAACAAGAAGUUAUGAAAGAUAACGUGACAAUGGAAGAGGUAAAGAUCUUCCGUUAAGUAAGCUAAGAAUCAAUUAGGCAAUAAGAAUGAACCACAAGGCAAUUAAUUCCAAAUAAAACAUGUAGAAGUGGAACUAGCAAAAGAAAAAUUCAAUCAUAUCAAGAACAACUUAUACUCAGUGCACAUAAGGACCUAAGAACCUAGAAAGGCCAAUUUCCCACAAAUAAAUCCGAGCAUGCACUCAUCACCUCACAUACACGGAUACAAUCAGCAGAGAAGAGUCAAAUCCUAAGGGGAAGUCCCACACACAAGGUUAGGCAAGACACUUACCUCGUACCAACUCAAAUCAACUAGAAACCACAUUCUUGUCAUGAGUAUUUGUAUCCAAAUGGCCCAAAUCUAUUCAAUUCAACUACAUAUUGUAAAUAACAUCUCAAGCAACUAAUUCUACUAUUUAAUUCAAAGCUAAGGCGCAAAAUUAGAUAAAAUGACCAAAUCGCACUUCAAGACGUCUCAGAAUCAGAUGAAAUUAACAUUUUCAGAACCCUAGCACUCUCACAAGUCCAACAAUAUAAAAAUCGCUCAAAUGGGAGGUCAAAAACCCACUCAAAAUUAAAUAAUUUGAAUUAUGAAGUUUUCGCCAAAUUUUCCUUCAAAAUCCAAAAAUUAAAGGAGGAAUUCAUGUUUAGAUUAGUGAGUUACAUGCAAAAAGGAGUUUAGAAUCAUUAUCUAAUCGUUGUCCCUGAAAAAACUCUCGAAAUCUCCCUAAAAUCCGAGCUCCCGAGCUUGAGUUUUGGUAAAAAUGACUAUACCCUCGUUUUGAAAUGUUUGUAUCUGUCCAAACAUUUAAUGCAUCGCGAAUACAAAGGGAGUCACGCGUUCGCGAAGAAGGAAAAUUGAAGGCUACCAAAUUGCUCUUCGCAAACGCAAGGAACAAUACGCAAACGUGAAGGCAUGGGCUGGCAAAGCUACGCAAACAUGACCUAGGUAGUGCGAACGCGAUGAAAAAAAGAAUAAGCACAACCCUCAUGGCCAAAUAGAACUACGCGAACGUGAGGGCUGGCUGCGAACGCGAAGGAGAAAAAUGAUGAAGCUUCGCGAACGUGGGAGGGUUAAACGCGAACGUCAAGAAGAAACUAAUCCUCCUCCAAAAUUAUGCGAACGAGUGGAGGAGGACACGAUCGCGAAGAAGAAAAGGGGGUCUGCAACAGUUGAAGAUUUUCUGCAAUUUUAAGCAACUCCAAAAUGCCUCGUUGAGCAUCCGAAACAUACCCGAGGCCCCUGGGGCCUUAACCAAAACUACAGACAUAUCCCAUAACAUUAUUCAAACUUGUGCCAAUCCUUAAACCACCUAAAACAAUGUCGGAAACUCGAAUUAAUCAAUUAUUUAAGCCUAAGAACUUCAAAUUCUCUCAAACCACGCUUUCGAUAAAAAGCCUAACUCAACUACAUGCGCAUGACCUGAAAUUUUUCACACUCGUCCAAAUGACAUGACGGAGCUACUGCAAUUUCAAAAUUCCAUUCCGACCCUCGGAUCAAAAUCUCACUGCCGGACCGGAAACUUCAAAAAUUCAAAUUUCGGCAUAUCAAGCCUAAAUUAGCUACGUACCUCCAAGACAUACAAAUCCAACCCCAAAAUUACCUAACGGAGCUAAUGGCACCACCAGAUUUCCAUGUUGAGGCCAUCUUCACACUGUUCCGACCACGGGCAACUUCCAACACUUAAGCUCCUGUUUAGGGACUAAGUGUCCAAAAACUCUCUGAAACUCAGAACCGAACAUCCCGGCAAAUCAACUUAGAGAAAUAGUGAUGGGGAAAGCAGUUACUAAGGGAUCCAGGCGUAAACUCUUAAGAUGACCGGCCGGGUUGUCACAUCCUCCUACACAUUUAUUCGUCCUCGAACGAGCUAAGAUUUGCCUCGAAGUCCUCAAGUCUCUGAGUGCACACUUCCAACAUACACCCACGGGUGAUCACACGUCACCCCAAUCCACUUAAGUAUGACGACACCAUCUCUACUGAAACUUAACUUUCUAGCAAUACCAAUGAGCCUUUCAGCCAGAAUUCUCGCUUUCCAUCCGUUUCUAAAAGACCCGAUUCUAAAUCCAUGUCUGGUAUUAGUCUCAACGAGCUGCUUCAAUUCAUGCCCCUACACACAAGAUACAACCACACAACCUGACACAUCACACAUAGCCAACAAUAACAUUUCUGAUAGCAAUAUUUGCCUGAGAUCAAAUCCAUAUUGGUCAUAAGCCUCACAUUCAAUAUGAACUCUUUUCAAACCUCCAGGAGAUGAUACAGUAAUCACGAAAACCACAAAACAAAACACCCGAAUAACCAAAUCUCAGCUAAUAUAAAUAGGCACGCACCCCCACAUACUAGAACUCAAGAAGUAUGCAAUGAAAAUAGAUGAAUAUGGGAAGGGAAAACACAUAAGGGAACUACAAAUAACUCAGACUAGCACAAAUUUUCUAAAUCACUAAUAUACAGAACAUUCUAACAAGAAAGAAUAAAAACAUAUAAAAGACUCACAAGGAUCUUAUACUGAUAUAACCCUCACCGUGGUACAUAGCUCGGUCUCAACACAUUAAAUCACCUGAACUCACGAGGAUCCCACCCUCACUCUGAAUCACAAGUACGGUACACAUCAACCCAUCUAGAGACUCUCACUAGAUCAAUUCCGUCUACAAUUUACAAUACAGACUGGCUCCUACAUUGGUGGAGCAUUGAAUCACAGCUCGUAACCAAGAAUACUCAAAAAUCACAUCAAACCUACCGAAACAGACAAAGAAUUCACUACUAACCUCAUAACGCUCGACAAUAGCUAGAAACAGAUGAUAGACACAACUAUCACUUAUAGAAUCUCCCAACAGGAUAAUCAUAUAAUCAAAGUGCAAAUCAUGAAACGCACCCAUAAAUGGAACAACAAAUAAGGAAGCUCCAUCCAAUAAGCAGGACUGUAAUGAACUACAUAUAGUGCCCCUCAAUAAUAAACCGAAUUCGUACCUGAUACGCGAACGCAAACACGACCCAAGUAGUGCGAACACGAUGAAGAAAAGAAUAAGCACAGCCCUCAAAGCCAAACAGAACUACGCGAACACAUGGUCUAGUGCGAAAGCAAACGAGGAAAAUGAUGAAGCUUCGCAAACGCGGGAGGGUUGAACGCGAAUGCGAAGAAGAAACUGGACCUCCUCCAAAAUUACUCUAUGUGAACAUGUGAAUGAGGACGCGAUCACCAAGAAGAAAAGGGGUCUGCAACAGCUGAAGAACUUCUACAAUUUUAAGCAACUCCAAAAUGCCCCCUUGAGCAUCCGAAACACACCUGAGGCCCCCGGGACCUCAACCAAACCUACAGAUAUAUCCCAUAACAUCAUUCAAACUUGUACCAAUCCUUAAACCACCUAAAUCAACGUCGAAAACUCGAAUUAAUCAAUGAAUUAAGCCUAAGAACUUCAAAUUCUCUCAAAAUACGCUUUCGAUCAAAAAUCUAAUAGAACCACAUCUGAGUGACAUGAAAUUUUACACACACGUCCCAAAUGACAUGAUGGAGCCGUUGCAACUUCCGAAAUUCCAUUCUAACCCUCAGAUCAAAAUCUCACUGUCGGACUGGAAACUUCAAAAAUUCAAAUUUCGGCAUUUCAAUCCUAAAUUAGCUAUGGACCUCUAAAAUAUAUUCCGAACACACAUCCAACCUCGAAAUCACCUAACGAGCUAAUGGAACCAUCAGAUUUCCAUUCCGAGGUCGUCUUUACAUUGUUCCAACUACGGAAAACUUCCAACACUCAAGCUCUCAUUUAGGGACUAAGUGUCCUAAAACUCUCCAAAACUCAAAACCGAACAUCCCGGAAAAUCAAUUUAGCAGAAAUAGACUUGGGGACAACAAUGAAUCGGGGAUCAGGGCGUAUACUCUUAAGACGACCGGCUGGAUCGUCACAAUUAGUUUCAUCCAAUUGUUCAAAUUACACACUAUUAGGCAAUAAAUCUAAUUGUUAGUAUAAUUUAAAAGAUUUUCCUGACAAGCAAGAUUACUAAGUCCUAAUAUUCCCUCUCUAUGAGUAACAAUAAUGACUUAGAUACAAAGUUCCUGCACAUGAAAUAAUCGAUGAAGAGCUUGUAAGAUGAAAGUAGUUCUUCAAUAUUAUUGAUGAGAAGCGUAUAAAAUAACCUUCUUUCCUUUCCUGAGCAUUGGUGUUAAGUGUGUUGAAGCUAGGAUUACAGAUAAUCCUGUAGUUGCUAGGCACAUUAAAACUAGAUAGGACAAGAUAGUAACCGACGGAAGAAGGAAAAGGCUGGGCAGGUGUUUGCCAAUGUAGGCAGAACUUGUGAAUUCCAUUAGAAGUAGGUGCACAAUCUGCUGCACAUUGUAAUACGAAUGCUAAUGAUGUUUUGAUGGUUGAGGAUCAGUUAAUAAGUGCCAACAUUGAGAAGGAUUCAAAAAAUAAGAAAGGGCAACUUGUGGUAAUUGAGGAUGAGUGCAAAGUAUCCACGAACUCUAUUGCACCUGCUACUGUUAAUCUUACGACAAUUGGAGCUAAGAUUCUGGAAAGCAUAAAUCUUUUGCAAGUUCUUCCUGGGUUUUUGCCUAAUCCAAUGGAAGGACGGUCCUUUCAAGAGGUGAAGGAAAACAAUGACAUGGUAGGGGUUGGUCUGAAUACAUCCCAACAUGAUAUCCCCUCCACUGAUUUGUUUGAUCGAUCUGGAAACAUGUUACAAGUCUCAAACAACCAACAAAUUUUAUCCAUGGUGUUGUCGGCAACAGAACAACCAAAAGGAGGGGCUGACCACACAAGAGAAUAACAUGAAGACACGAUGAGUGAAGACAUAAGUGGUGAACUUGUCCAUAAUUUAAACGAGCUACAGAAGCCAGUUAGCUCUAAGCACAAGACAUGGGCUGAUCAUGUAGAAGAGUAUGACGAAGGUGAAGAAAAUUAUGUCAGUGACUCCAAGAGAUAAACACUUAAGAAACUGGUUCGUCAACACGACAAGGUGGUAUAGCAAAGGAAGGAGCAGUAGUUGUGGUUGAGCAGGUUGUGAGUCCAUCUCCUAGUGUGCAAAGAAAGACUAAGCUAAGUCCUAAUGCUGCUGUUUUUGUUCCUACUGGACAACAACUAUCAGGUAUGAUUUCUAAGCUUAAUUUGAUCCAAAAAUCCACUGGACAAGUAACUAUUACAAGUGGAAUGGCUGCACAAUAUAACUUGACGCCUAAAAACAUUCUCCAAGCUAUUGUAACUCAUGAUCCUCUACAUGAGGCUGCUAUCUAACCUCCUACCAACUCCAUUUAAGUUCAUAUAAUGAACCUGCUGUGAAAUUUCUACUACCAUAGUGAGAGGUAAGACUACUAAAGAAUCAUCAUAGCUAUGUAUCUUUGCGGGAAAACUUAAUAUUGGACAAGAUUGUACAUUAAUUUCUUCCUGAUAUUUGAUGAAAAAAUAUUACCAAUCUAACUAUGAGCGGAGAUGGAAAAACAAACUCAAGGUUAUAAGUCAACAAAUUAUCAAAUGUCCUGAAGUUAUUGUCUUGAAACAACAUGAGGUAGAAGGCCGUGUGAUAGCAUCUCUCUCCACCACAGUGAAGACAAGUUCUUUGUUGUAGUGUGAAUACCAGAACAAGCUAUAUCCACAUAACUCUGUAAAGAUGACUGCAAAGAAGGACAAAUUAUCGUAUAGUUGACAACUUUACAUAAAUUAUAUUAAUUACUUUCAAAACCAAACACCCAUUAAUUAAUAAAUCUAGUAAGAAUUGCACGAUUAAACAUGAAGCACUAUAAUAUUCUUUUGGGGUAUAGCAAGAAAAGUUAAUACAAUCCAUAGAAAUGUUAAGCAAAAGCUAGACUUUGAAGAAUUAGCCAAUAAAUCAUUUGGAUUACCUAGGAACAACAAAGGUCCAUGGGGAGAUAGGCUAAUCUUCAGUAUUUCUAUCUUCUAAAAACUUAACCUCGACACCUCUAACAUCACAUUUAUCCUUCAUGGCAAGAACAAAAUUAUCAAUUUGAUAUAUUAUCUUAAUCAAUUCCUCCUCUUUCCGCCAAUACAAGUACCCCCCCAAUGCCUUUCUCUACUAACAAAACAAACUGCAACAACAAAACAACAAUAACCCACAAAUAAAAAAUAAAUAAAUACCCAAAAACUACGAAAAUUCGUACUUAUGCUACCAAGAAAAGAACCAAAUUUUUAUAAUUAACAAAAAAUUGCUACUUAAUUUUGCUAGAGAAAGAGAUAGUGAGAGACUAGAUGCUGUCAAGAUUAACUACUCUAUUUUUCUGAGGUCGAGAGAAGUUCAGCGUCGGAUUGAAAACCUGGAACACCCGACUCCUCACCACAGACUAUUACUAUAUGAAUUUCUUUUAUUCCUAUAGAUUUUCAAGUGGGUCAGAGAAAUAUAGAUGAAAUCUCUAAAAUCAUUGAAAUUAUCAUUCUCGCUAACUGUAUAUACCAUCGAAAAGGGAUUUGAGCUCAAGAUUGGAGCACGUACCUGAUGGAGUCAAGAUUUUUGAUUACGUCUUUUGUUUUGCUAUCAGAUGGAUCACGAUUUGUGAUUUGAGCGGUCAAAAUUGUGAGAUAUGAGCAGAGAGGAAAUUGAGUGGGUAAAUUUUCUAUAGAGAGACGAGUAAGGAGAAGAAGACCUACAUCAGUCUAUGCUUCUUUUUUCAUUUAAUAAGAGUGGUUUUUCUUAUAAAAAUAUUUAGUAGUGCUAGAGGUGACCGAGUCGCUACAAAAGACCUACAACGGUGACUUUAUAAAAGUCGC